CCAACAGGGAUUGCCUCAGUAACGGCGAGUGAAGCGGCAACAGCUCAAAUUUGAAAUCUGGCCUAGCCCGAGUUGUAAUUUGCAGAGGAUGCUUCGGGCGCGGCGCCUUCCCAAGUCCCCUGGAACGGGGCGCCUUGGAGGGUGAGAGCCCCGUACGGUCGGAUGCCGUGCCCGUGUGAAGCUCCUUCGACGAGUCGAGUAGUUUGGGAAUGCUGCUCUAAAUGGGAGGUAGACCCCUUCUAAAGCUAAAUACCGGCCAGAGACCGAUAGCGCACAAGUAGAGUGAUCGAAAGAUGAAAAGCACUUUGAAAAGAGGGUUAAAAAGCACGUGAAAUUGUUGAAAGGGAAGCGCUCGUGACCAGACUUGCGCCGGGGCGAUCAUCUGGCGUUCUCGCCGGUGCACUCGCCCCGGCUCAGGCCAGCGUCGGUUCGGGUGGGGAGACAAAGGCGCCAGGAACGUAGCUCCUCGGAGUGUUAUAGCCUGGUGCGCCAUGUCCUCGCCCGGACCGAGGUUCGCGCUCUGCAAGGACGCUGGCGUAAUGGUCACCAGCGGCCCGUCUUGAAACACGGACCAAGGAGUCGAGGUUAUGCGCGAGUGUCUGGGUGUCAAACCCGCACGCGUAAUGAAAGUGAACGUAGGUGAGAGCUUCGGCGCAUCACCGACCGAUCCUGAUGUUCUCGGAUGGAUUUGAGUAAGAGCGUACAGCCUCGGACCCGAAAGAUGGUGAACUAUGCUUAGAUAGGGUGAAGCCAGAGGAAACUCUGGUGGAGGCUCGCAGCGGUUCUGACGUGCAAAUCGAUCGUCAAAUCUGAGCAUGGGGGCGAAAGACUAAUCGAACCAU
rnacentral:rRNA from 2 species